rnacentral:rRNA from 1 species
AGCAGCCGCGGUAAUUCCAGCUCCAAUAGCGUAUAUUAAAGUUGUUGCAGUUAAAAAGCUCGUAGUUGAAUUUCGGGAUCAAAUUGUCGGUCGUGCCUCGGUACGUACUGGCGUUAUUGGUUCCUACCUUCUGAAGAACCACGAUGUCAUUAAUUUGGUGUCGCGGGGAAUCAGGACUGUUACUUUGAAAAAAUUAGAGUAGUUUAAAGCAGGCUCGCGCUUGAAUACAUUAGCAUGGAAUAAUGAAAUAGGACGUUUGAUUCUAUUUUGUUGGUUUCUAGGAUCGACGUAAUGAUUAAUAGGGAUAGUUGGGGGCAUUAGUAUUCAAUUGUCAGAGGUGAAAUUCUUGGAUUUAUUGAAGACUAACUACUGCGAAAGCAAUUUGCCAAGGAUGUUUUCAUUAAUCAAGAACGAAAGUUAGGGAUCGAAGACGAUCAGAUACCGUCGUAGUCUUAACCAUAAACCUAUAGCCGACUAGGGAUCGGGAUGAUGUUAAUUUUUUAAUGUACUCAUUUCGGCG